GGGUCUGGGCCUGGGGACAGUGGGGUCUGGGUCUGGGGACAGUGGGGUCUGGGGACAUGGGGCCUGCGGCUGGGGACAGUGGGGUCCGGCCGUGGGCCCUGAGCUGACACUGGAGUCCUGGCCUGUGGUCCCUGUCCUGUCACACAGACAGGCAGACUGCACACAGCAGCACCUGGUCACAUGCUCAGAGGGAGCUGAGGUGGGGGACCCCUGCCCUGCUGUGACCCCUCCUGUCGGUGCCCCUGGGAACGUUCCAGGGCAGGAUGAGAGAGGGCACAGCAGGACGGGAACUGCUGAGUGGCCCAGGGUGGGGACAGGGACAGCCCGGAGGGUCCCCCCCACCCGUCCCCAUCCCAUGGGCGCCCCUGCCCGGGCUGCGAGGCCGCACCCUCCCUGUGGGGUGAGGCGCAGGUGACCGCCGGGCACCUGAGGUCAUGUUAAUGGGCUGGGGCACUGCCCCCCGCCAGCACAGCAGAAGCAGCGCCGUCACCACUGCCCCCCGAGUCUCCGCCAUCUUCCUCCAGCCGCUCAGCUCCUCCACCUGGUCGCCAGGGUCUCGGAACCUGGAGCCUGUGACGUCACUGCAGGAAGUGGCCUCGUGUGGGUGGGGGAGGGUGCCCGGGACCUGUGAGGUCACAGCAGGAAGUGGCCUGAGCGUGGACGCUGCUGGGGUCACACGCACCAGUGGUCUCCGCCAGGGCCUCCCCGGGGUGGGGGCCGAGUCUGGGACAUACACCCUCAGACCCUGGGGCUGAGCCCCCACCUGUUCUCACCCCCAUUCUUUACUUUGGUCGUAAGUAGAACUGGCCCCCGGCCCCCGUCACCCCCCAGUAUCCCCUCGCGGCGAUUCUCAGGUUUGUUCCCCCACCCUGCUGUGGACACAGACCCUGCCCGCAGCUGGGCUCAGUCCACCAUCAGAAAGGAUGCUCAGCCGUCAGCAGGCUGUGGCUGACAGCACCCAAGCCGUGGGCACCGCUUGUGAAGGGAGCGGGGGGGGGGGGGAGUGAGGGGCUCCCAGGGUGGGGGAUUGUGUCCCCCCCAGAAUGAACCCAGCAUGUCCCCAAUCAGCAAACCAGGUGCUGAGAGGCUGUGCAGAGAAGGGGCUCUGCCCACGGCUGGGGGGACGCAGACGGGCAGCCCCUGCGGACACUGUGUGGACAGUCCUUAGACAGACAGACAUGGAGUCACCUCACGACCCAGCAGUGCCCCUCUCAGCAUGGACCCCGUGGACACUCAGACGCUCAUGGGAAGGGGCACCGGCCCCCUGUGGACACAGCCCGGAUGCCCAUCAGCAGGUGACUGGGUAAAGAAGUUAUGGGAUAUAGAGUCCAUGGAGUACUACUCUGCCAUCAAAAUGAUGAUAUUGUGUUCUUUGGGACAAAAUGGACUGGACUGCAGUGAUGAUGCUCAGUGAGAUCAUUCAAGAGAUGAGAGACGCCUCGGCUGGUUUCAGUCAUGUGGAAUCUAGAGCACUGACUCACACAGACCUGGAUAACGAGCCAAAAAAUCAA